AUUGAACGCUGGCGGCAUGCCUUACACAUGCAAGUCGAACGGUAACGCGGGGCAACCUGGCGACGAGUGGCGAACGGGUGAGUAAUGUAUCGGAACGUGCCCAGUUGUGGGGGAUAACUGCUCGAAAGAGCAGCUAAUACCGCAUACGACCUGAGGGUGAAAGCGGGGAAUCGCAAGACCUCGCGCAAUUGGAGCGGCCGAUAUCAGAUUAGGUAGUUGGUGGGGUAAAGGCUCACCAAGCCGACGAUCUGUAGCUGGUCUGAGAGGACGACCAGCCACACUGGGACUGAGACACGGCCCAGACUCCUACGGGAGGCAGCAGUGGGGAAUUUUGGACAAUGGGCGCAAGCCUGAUCCAGCCAUGCCGCGUGCGGGAAGAAGGCCUUCGGGUUGUAAACCGCUUUUGUCAGGGAAGAAAAGGCUCCUGUUAAUACCGGGGGCUCAUGACGGUACCUGAAGAAUAAGCACCGGCUAACUACGUGCCAGCCGCCGCGGUAAUAC
rnacentral:rRNA from 1 species